GAAAGAGCGGCAUCACGCCAUAUCAAUCCACUUGUUUCUGCUGAGUCACAGUGUAUUGUUGAUGUGAAGAAGCGUGCCGGUUCAAAGCAGUCCAGCAUUUCUGCUGAAUCAUACAGGUCUUGGUAAAGCAUUACAGGCUUCAUCAUGGAUGAGGUCACAAAGGGGAAAACUGGCCCUGCCUAUACUCAGAUUG